CCUAUCAACUUUCGAUGUUAUUAUCUGCGCCUACCAUGGUGACCAUGGGUUACUGGGAAUCAGGGUUCAAUUCUG